rnacentral:lncRNA from 1 species
UCAAUCUCUAAUGUGAACUCUUAUACUUUUUCCAGUCAAAUUGGACACUCCUAUCCUUUUAUGUGGCCAACCCUAGCUCACGCAACAGACAAGUGUUGUUGAAUCAGUUUAAUUUUCUUGAUUCAUGUUUUGGCAGAUAUUUUGUGUCCAUUCGAAUCCUCAAUCUCUAAUGUGAAGCCUCAUACUUUUUCCACUCAAAUUAGAUACUCCUAGUCUUUUAUUUAGCCAACCCUAGCUCACGGUACAGACGGGUAUUGUUGAAUCAGUUCAAUUUUUUUGACUCAUGUUUUGGCAGAUCUUUUGUAUCCAUUCGAAUCCUCAAUCUCUAACGUGAACUCUCAUACUUUUUCCAAUCAAAUUGGACACUUCUAGCUUUGAUGUUGCCAAACCUAG